rnacentral:rRNA from 1 species
GACGAACGCUGGCGGCGUGCUUAACACAUGCAAGUCGAACGCAGUGGCGAACGGGUGAGUAAUACGUGGGUAACCUGCCCUCCUUUUUGGGAUAAGCCUUGGAAACGGGGUCUACUACCGAAUAAAGGGGGAUGGGGUCGCGGACUUUCAGUGUGUUGGUGGGGUGAUGGCCUACUAAGGUGGCGACGGGUAGGCGGCCUGAGGGGGUGACCGGGCACGUUGGGACGGCGAUACGGCCCAGACUCCUACGAGAGGCAGAAGUGGGGGAUAGUGCGCAAUGGGCGAAGGCCUGAUGCGGCUGCGCGGAGUAGGGGAUGAAGGCUUUCGGGUUGUAUACCUCUGUCGCUAGCGAACGGGUAGGUGGAGAAGAAGCGCCGGCUAACUACGUGCCAGCAGCCGCGGUAAUAC